rnacentral:rRNA from 1 species
UACGAAGGGGACUAGCGUUGUUCGGAAUCACUGGGCGUAAAGCGCACGUAGGCGGAUUCGUAAGUCAGGGGUGAAAUCCCGGGGCUCGACCUCGGAACUGCCUUUGAUACUGCGGGUCUUGAGUCCGAUAGAGGUGGGUGGAAUUCCUAGUGUAGAGGUGAAAUUCGUAGAUAUUAGGAAGAACACCGGUGGCGAAGGCGGCCCACUGGAUCGGUACUGACGCUGAGGUGCGAAAGCGUGGGGAGCAAACAGG